rnacentral:rRNA from 1 species
GGGACUANGUNGCAUACUUAGUUCAGUGGCGCACGGGUGCGUAACGCGUAUGCAACCUACCUUAAACUGGGGGAUAGCCUUCCGAAAGGGAGAUUAAUACCGCAUAAUACUAUUUGAGGGCAUCUGAGGAUAGUUAAAGAUUUAUUGGUUUAAGAUGGGCAUGCGUGCCAUUAGCUAGUUGGUAGGGUAACGGCCUACCAAGGCGACGAUGGCUAGGGGUUCUGAGAGGAUGAUCCCCCACACUGGCACUGAGAUACGGGCCAGACUCCUACGGGAGGCAGCAGUAGGGAAUAUUGGGCAAUGGGCGAAAGCCUGACCCAGCCAUGCCGCGUGCAGGAAGAAGGCCUUCUGGGUUGUAAACUGCUUUUAUCUGGGAAGAAAAAGCCCCUGCGGGGGAAACUGACGGUACCAGAGGAAUAAGCACCGGCUAACUCCGUGCCAGCAGCCGCGGUAAUACGGAGGGUGCAAGCGUUGUCCGGAUUUAUUGGGUUUAAAGGGUGCGUANGCGGCCCGGUAAGUCAGUGGUGAAAACCUCCAGCUCAACUGGAGAACUGCCAUUGAUACUGCCGGGCUUGAG